rnacentral:rRNA from 1 species
AAAUUUUUAAAGGUCGAACAGACCUAGUAUUGUAAAACCUACCCCACAAACAAAAUUUAAUCCAACAUCGAGGUCGCAAACUCACUUAUCGAUUAGAACUCUCCAAAUGAAUAACG